AAUUAAUUUGAAACAUGUCGUAUUAAUCGUAUAAUAACGCAUAAAUUAUGGUUUCACUUCGCAUAGUUCUUCGGAUUAGGUUAUCUCGAACAGGCAACUGAUCGAGCAGCUGUGGCUCGACGGCGACCGACUCGAUGGAGAUUUUUCUUUUUCAUUUCCACUGCUCCGUGAUUUCACUUCAUCGUGUAGCUGAAAUUCCUCUCUCACCAGGCAACGCUAUAGGCCUACCUCGUGCUAUAAAUGCAUGAACCUGCUACAUUGCCACCAGUACGUGGCACCGCCAACCAACUAGCUUUCCAUGGUAAAGACAAAAAAAAAAACAAAACAGGUUAUCAUUAUCACUCUCCUUAAUACGUGGAAGGAUUUUUGUUUUUUUGACAUACAUUCUCAGUGUUUGCAACCUGGAAUAUUUAGAGCA